CCUGUGGAGAUUUACAGCAAACGUUAGUAGCUAAGGCAAAAGCGGAAUCAAUGAAGCAGGAA
ncrna:unclassified sequences RAGATH-18 RNA